UGGGGAAUAUUGGACAAUGGGCGGAAGCCUGAUCCAGCAACGCCGCGUGAGGGAUGACGGCCUUCGGGUUGUAAACCUCUUUCACAUCCGACGAAGCGAAAGUGACGGUAGGGUGAGAAGAAGGACCGGCCAACUACGUGCCAGCAGCCGCGGUAAUACGUAGGGUCCGAGCGUUGUCCGGAAUUAUUGGGCGUAAAGGGCUCGUAGGCGGUUUGUUGCGUCGGGAGUGAAAACCAAGGGCUUAACUCUUGGCUUGCUUCUGAUACGGGCAGACUGGAGGUAUGCAGGGGAGAACGGAAUUCCUGGUGUAGCGGUGAAAUGCGCAGAUAUCAGGAGGAACACCGGUGGCGAAGGCGGUUCUCUGGGCAUUACCUGACGCUGAGGAGCGAAAGUGUGGGGAGCGAACA
rnacentral:rRNA from 1 species